rnacentral:rRNA from 1 species
UACGGAGGGUGCGAGCGUUACCCGGAUUUACUGGGUGUAAAGGGCGUGUAGGCGGUCUCUCAAGUCCGAUGCUAAAGACCGAAGCUCAACUUCGGGGGUGCGUUGGAUACUGUGAGGCUAGACGGUCGGAGAGGGUAGCGGAAUUUCCGGAGUAGCGGUGAAAUGCGCAGAUACCGGAAGGAACGCCAAUAGCGAAAGCAGCUACCGGGAAGAUUGGUGACGCUGAGCCGUGAAAGCGUGGGGAGCAAACCGG